rnacentral:rRNA from 1 species
GUAGGGGUUCUGAGAGGAAGGUCCCCCACACUGGUACUGAGACACGGACCAGACUCCUACGGGAGGCAGCAGUGAGGAAUAUUGGUCAAUGGGAGAGAUCCUGAACCAGCCAAGCCGCGUGAGGGAAGACGGCCCUAUGGGUUGUAAACCUCUUUUGUCGGAGAACAAAACCCGGGACGAGUCCCGGACUGCGUGUAUCCGAAGAAAAAGCAUCGGCUAACUCCGUGCCAGCAGCCGCGGUAAUACGGAGGAUGCGAGCGUUAUCCGGAUUUAUUGGGUUUAAAGGGUGCGUAGGCGGUCUGUUAAGUCAGCGGUAAAAUUGCGGGGCUCAACCCCGUCGAGCCGUUGAAACUGGCAGACUUGAGUUGGCGAGAAGUACGCGGAAUGCGCGGUGUAGCGGUGAAAUGCAUAGAUAUCGCGCAGAACUCCGAUUGCGAAGGCAGCGUACCGGCGCCAGACUGACGCUGAGGCACGAAAGCGUGGGGAUCGAACAGGAUUAGAUACCCUGGUAGUCCACGCAGUAAACGAUGAAUGCUGGUUGUCCGGGUCGAAUGAGACCUGG